UUAGUUCGGCGUUGUCGAUUGAAUACGGCGUUCCGCGGUCCGCCAUUUUGUCUUUGUCAUCCGAUCGGUUGAUGCUUGAACGCUUUUUAUGUGCGCAAUUCAUUUAUAAUUUGUGAAGUUCAGUUUACUUCGUUUACAAGAUUUAUAUAUUACUGUAGUGAUAAUAGAAAAGAAUGCAAAUGCAAGCCAUGAAUCAAUACGGUAAUAACAGAGGAUAUGGAGGCCCACCGCAGCCUCAAAGACAAGGAGGUCGACGUGGAAAUAACCGGGGUGGUGCUGGAGGUUUCCGUAAUAAUUCACGAUUUGAUCACAAUCAAAGAAAUCAAAAUCAGCAAGGGGGUCAACGCCCCAAUAACGAGCCUGCCCAAGAAGAUAACCCACCAGCAGCCCAACCGCAGCAAAAACAACAGCAACCUGCUCAGCAAAAAGAAGAGAUUCAGCAGGCACCACCUCAGCAGCUGAAGCAACAACCUCAACCGGCUAAGCAAGCACCAAAACCACAACAAAAUGUACCUCAACAACAACCACCUAUUCAGCAACAACAAUCUCAACCCCAAAAUCAACAGUCAAAACCACAAAAUCAACAACCAAAACAACAAUCCCAGGACAAUGUUGAUAAAUCUGUGGUAUCUAAUGAACCAAAGCAUCAAAAUCAGAACAAUCAAGGUGGAUAUCAGAAGGGUGGACAACAACUCCCCAGACUAAUGGACACAAGAGAUGACUCUGAAAAUGUGAAUGGUAAUUUUGGUGGUGGAAGACAAGGUGGGUGGAGCCAAGGUGGGGGUAACAGACAGAGCAACUUCGGACAGAAAGGUUUUGGAGAUAGGAAACAUGGCGGUCAAGGAGGCCAAGGAGGAGGUCAGGGACCUGCCCGGAAUCAGCAGAGGAAUUCCAACCGUGGCCAACAGGGUGACGGAAAACCACAAAGAGAGGAACAUAUGCUGGCAAAUAAACUGAAGGAUCUUGUGGGGCCGUUGAUAGAUUUGCCACCAAUUGAACAAACUGAAGCUAAAUUCAAUGGCAGAAGUCGUCUGUACAUUGGCAACCUCAGCAAUGACGUCACAGAAGAGGAUAUUAUGACUAUGUUCAGCCAGUUUGGGGAGCCCGCUGAACUGUUUAUCAACAAAGAGAAAAACUUUGGAUUCAUUAAAAUGGACUACAGGGUUAAUGCUGAAAAAGCUAGACGCGAGUUGGAUGGGAAGAUGAGAAACGGUAGAACCCUAAGAGUCAGAUUUGCACCUCACAACAGCACAGUGCGCGUUAAGAAUCUACCACCUUUCGUCUCAAAUGAAUUGUUGUACCGCUCAUUUGAAAUCUUUGGGAAAAUUGAGCGGGCCUAUGUAAAAAUUGACGAGAGAGGGAAAACUGUUGGCGAGGGCAUUGUUGAGUUUGCGCGUAAACCCAGUGCGUUGGCUGCUAUACGUAACUGUACAGAGAGAUGCUUCUUUUUAACUUCAUCUCUUAGGCCAGUGAUUGUAGAGAACUAUGAAGAGCCAGAUGAGGCCGAUGGUUAUCCUGAAAAGAAUCUCCCCAAGAAACACCCAGAAUAUAUGCGUGCGCGUGAGAUGGGGCCACGAUUCUCAGAGCCAGGUAGUUUUGAACAUGAAUAUGGAACAAGGUGGAAACAGCUGCACGAGUUACAUCGCCAAAAAGAGGACGCACUGAAAAAAGAAUUGGCAGCUGAGGAAGAGAAGUUAGAGGCACAGAUGGAGUAUGCCAAGUACGAGCACGAGACGGAGCUGCUGCGCGAACAGCUGCGGCAGCGCGAGCAGGACCGCGAGCGGCAGAAGCGCACGUGGGAGAUGGCGGAGCGCGCGGCCGAGGAGCGCCGCGAGAGCGAGCGCCUGCAGCUGCUGCGCCAGGAGGAGGAGCUGUCGCAGCGCAUGCGUCUGCAGGACGACGAGCUGCGCCGCCGCCAGCAGGAGAACACGCUCUUUGUGCAGGCACAACGACUUAAUUCCAUGCUUGACCGCCAGGAGCAAGGCAUGUUUGAUCAUCAACAGCCAAUGGUUUCGGUUUUUAGCUAGAUAUGGGCCCCCGUUUAUAUUAAGCUGGCUUAAAAGGCAACAACCCUGGGGACAUUGCUAGCUGGCACUCACUUGGCAAAGUGGCUGUUGGGGUGUUCGCGCAUCAAUAUCGGUCAUGAAAAACUUCCCUAGAUCAAAAUUUAUUUGUGCUUUUCUUCAAAAAUUUACAAAUUAUAAUUCUAGUAACAAAACUAAAUUGGCCAACAAACUUUCUAGCUUACUAUUAAUUUUUAAAGCUCCAAGAAAAUCUUGCACCUUUUAAAGCAGCCGUUUUACCCAAUAAAAGAGGCUUUUAUUAAUGGACAAUAUAAUAUCUAUAGUAUAAAUAAUGUGUAAAAAUAGUGUGAAAUUAGAAACCGUCAACUAUGAACAGUUUUAAAGUGUUAUAUUUUUGUACAAAACACGUUGACUAGAACUAGGUCAAUGAAUGUCAUUUUGAUAACACGCAAUUUGCAGAAUUGUAAUAGAUAACCGCGCAAUUUGUAUAGAAUUAUUAUAAAUGUUAGAUUGCGGUUGUAAAAGCAAUAUAAAUAAAUUAAUAUAUGCACAUUUGUGGCGCCAUUCAAAUUAAUCUCUCGACCAAUAUGCGGCACGGAUCUCAUGUAGAGUUGACAACUUUAACAAUCAAAAGAUUGUCAAGCUGAACUUUACAUUGUAGGUACAUGAUUCCUAUCGAAAAUUC
rnacentral:misc_RNA from 1 species